rnacentral:rRNA from 1 species
GUAACAUUGGUUGCUUGCAACCAGAUGACGAGUGGCGCACGGGUGCGUAACGCGUAUACAAUCUGCCUCUUACAGGGGGAUAGCCUUUGGAAACGAAGAAUAAUACCCCAUAGUAUGUAGAUGCCGCAUGGUAUUUGCAUUAAAGAUUUAUCGGUAAGAGAUGAGUAUGCGUCCUAUUAGCUAGAUGGUGUGGUAACGGCACACCAUGGCAACGAUAGGUAGGGGCCCUGAGAGGGGGAUCCCCCACACUGGUACUGAGACACGGACCAGACUCCUACGGGAGGCAGCAGUGAGGAAUAUUGGACAAUGGGCGAGAGCCUGAUCCAGCCAUGCCGCGUGCAGGAAGACUGCCCUAUGGGUUGUAAACUGCUUUUGUACGGGAAGAAACCCGCCUACGUGUAGGCGGCUGACGGUACCGUAAGAAUAAGCAUCGGCUAACUCCGUGCCAGCAGCCGCGGUAAUACGGAGGAUGCAAGCGUUAUCCGGAAUCAUUGGGUUUAAAGGGUCCGUAGGUGGAUCGGUCAGUCAGAGGUGAAAUCCUGCAGCUCAACUGUAGAACUGCCUUUGAUACUGCCGGUCUUGAAUUAUUGUGAAGUGGUUAGAAUAUGUAGUGUAGCGGUGAAAUGCAUAGAUAUUACAUAGAAUACCAAUUGCGAAGGCAGAUCACUAACAAUACAUUGACACUGAUGGACGAAAGCGUGGGGAGCGAACGGGAUUAGAUACCCCGGUAGUCCACGCCGUAAACGAUGGUCACUAGCUGUUCGGACUUCGGUCUGAGUGGCUAAGCGAAAGUGAUAAGUGACCCACCUGGGGAGUACGUUCGCAAGAAUGAAACUCAAAGGAAUUGA